UACGUAGGGGGCAAGCGUUGUCCGGAUUUAUUGGGCGUAAAGAGCGUGUAGGCGGCCAGGUAGGUCAGCUGUGAAAACUCGAGGCUUAACCUCGAGACGCCGGCUGAAACCCUCUGGCUAGAGUCCGGAAGAGGGAGAGCGGAAUUCCUGGUGUAGCGGUGAAAUGCGCAGAUAUCAGGAAGAACACCCGUGGCGAAGGCGGCUCUCUGGGACGGUACUGACGCUGAGACGCGAAAGCGUGGGGAGCGAAGCAGG
rnacentral:rRNA from 1 species